UCUAGUUUUUGAGAGUGGACCAAGACAAAGACAGAGAAUGCAGCCUGGACUGUGCAGGUUCCCCUCAGAAGUCACUCUGUGCAUCUGAUGGAAGAACUUUUCUGUCCCGAUGUGAAUUUCAACGAGCAAAAUGCAAAGACCCUCAGCUGGAAAUAGCCUACCGGGGCAACUGCAAAGAUGUUUCCAGAUGUGUGGCUGAGAGGAAGUACACCCAGGAACAAGCUCGCAAGGAAUUUCAACAAGUGUUUAUCCCAGAAUGCAAUGAUGAUGGCACAUAUAGUCAGGUUCAGUGCCACAGUUACACUGGAUACUGCUGGUGUGUCACCCCCAACGGUCGUCCUAUCAGUGGUACUGCUGUGGCCCACAAAACGCCCCGGUGUCCAGGUUCAGUGAGCGAGAAGCUGCCACAACGAGAAGGUGCAGGCAAAACAGGU